rnacentral:rRNA from 1 species
UGGGGAAUUUUGGACAAUGGGCGAAAGCCUGAUCCAGCAAUGCCGCGUGUGUGAAGAAGGCCUUCGGGUUGUAAAGCACUUUUGUCCGGAAAGAAAUCCUUGGCUCUAAUACAGUCGGGGGAUGACGGUACCGGAAGAAUAAGCACCGGCUAACUACGUGCCAGCAGCCGCGGUAAUACGUAGGGUGCAAGCGUUAAUCGGAAUUACUGGGCGUAAAGCGUGCGCAGGCGGUUCGCUAAGACCGAUGUGAAAUCCCCGGGCUCAACCUGGGAACUGCAUUGGUGACUGGCAGGCUAGAGUAUGGCAGAGGGGGGUAGAAUUCCACGUGGUAGCAGUGAAAUGCGUAGAGAUGUGGAGGAAUACCGAUGGCGAAGGCAGCCCCCUGGGCCAAUACUGACGCUCAUGCACGAAAGCGUGGGGAGCAAACAGGAUUAGAUACCCUGGUAGUCCACGCCCUAAACGAUGUCAACUAGUUGUUGGGGAUUCAUUUCCUUGGUAACGUAGCUAACGCGUGAAGUUGACCGCCUGGGGAGUACGGUCGCAAGAUUAAAAACUUAAAGGAAUUGACGGGGUCAU